AUUCCAUCUAUCAUAAUAUGAAUUAAAUCAAAAUAACUCUGAAACGGACUUUGCCUCCUAAAUGAGAAAUCCGCUUUUCAUUUGAGACCAUUUCGCAUCGCUCUGUUCUAAUUAAAUCUGUACGGAUGUCUCUGCUCUUUCAUGAACUGUCUUCUGAAUGAGAUAAGUGAUUACUUCCAUUUCCACUUAGUAAUAAAAACAACUAUGGUGGACAUAAAAAAAUCUACAGGCACCAUUCUGAGGCAGGCAAAGAAAUCGACAGUUGGUAAAUAAAAAUUACUGAAUACCAUCGGAAAGGGAAAAUUUGCAAAGGUCGAGUUGCUCACCAGUGAGGUGAGUUCAUGCCAACAAAACUAAACUUACGCCUUAUUCUCUACAGAAAUUAUAUAGAGAAGCAAGAAUAAUGAAAAAGUUAGACCAUCCAAUGAUAGUGAAAUUAUUUCAAGUGAUCGAAACGAAAAACUUUUUACCUGGUCGUGGAAAUUUGCAUCAGGAGGUAAUAUGUGUAAUUAUCGGGCAGGCCAGGAUAGCAUGUAAGAAAAUUAUAUGAGGGCGAAAUGUAAGCAAACUGUCUCUGGGGUACAGUCACCGAAAAAGGAUCGUUUAUAGAGAUUUGAAGACUAAAAACAUAUUGCUGGAUGGUAAAAUGAACAUUGAAAUUGCGGAUUCUGGAUUAUUAAACGAAUUUACUCCUGGAAAAAAAUUGGAGACAUUUUGUGGAGCUCUACUCAACAAUAUUCUACAUAUUCUACAUACUCUUCAUUUCUGGGCAUAAAAUAUGAUGGACCUGAAGUAUUUGUAUAGUCAUUAGGUGUCAUAUCAUACAAGUUGGUGUCGAACACUUGUCCCUUUGAAAGUUCGACAUUUCGAAAACUUAGGGAGUAGGUGGUUUAUGGCGAAUAGCAGAUCCCUUCUUGUAUGAUGCCAGACUGUGUAAGUCUCCUGAAGAAGCUUUUGGUUCUGCAUCCCACCAAAAGGGCAAGCUGGAUGAACCGAGAGUAUGAAAAUAAAGAAAUUGAAAAUUGUCAAUGAGUCAUCAUUGAAUAGUAUCUAUCACCAGUAAUGAACCAAAAUACCAUGAAAUUUUAUAAAACUGAAUAGUACCAA